GGGCGCGCGUUGUCCGGAUUCAUUGGGCGUAAAGCGCGCGUAGGCGGCUUCGCAAGUCGGCCGUGAAAUCUCCGGGCUCAACUCGGAGGGGUCGGGCGAGACUGCGAGGCUCGAGGUGGGCAGAGGGCAGUGGAAUUCCUGGUGUAGCGGUGAAAUGCGCAGAUAUCAGGAGGAACACCAAUGGCGAAGGCAGCUCGCUGGGACGGUACUGACGCUGAGACGCGAAAGCGUGGGGAGCAAACAGG
rnacentral:rRNA from 1 species